CUUCUAGCUCAGACUUAUGACCUUUCUCCUUCCUAGGAGGCAAGCGCCUCGGCGGCUUCUUUGGCAUCACGGCAUUGUUCCCUUUUGGAACCUUCUUCGAACGUGGCGGCAGGGACCCUUUCGCACCAUUGUCUUUCUUCGAACUUGCAAUGGUGGCCGUAUGCGUCGACUCCUUUUCCUCUAGUUGCAUGGCUGUUAGGCGUACUUGUCCUUCCGUCUUCGGUACCUUGACCAUGGGCACCAUACAUGAUCUUCCUUGCUCCAUGACUAGAAGUCGUUGGAGGUAAGGGUCGAUCACCGCGUGGCACUGCUGGAAGAACUCCUGCCCAAGAAUUAUGUCAAAAGGAUCUAAAGGAGCGACAAUGAAG
rnacentral:lncRNA from 1 species